rnacentral:rRNA from 1 species
ACGGAAGGCAGCAGUGAGGAAUAUUGGUCAAUGGGCGGAAGCCUGAACCAGCCAAGUCGCGUGAAGGAUGAAGGUAUUAUGUAUUGUAAACUUCUUUAGACGUAGAGAAAUAAGGGGCUCGUGAGCCCUGAUGCUAGUAUACGUAGAAUAAGGAUCGGCUAACUCCGUGCCAGCAGCCGCGGUAAUACGGAGGAUCCGAGCGUUAUCCGGAUUUAUUGGGUUUAAAGGGUGCGCAGGCGGUCUUUUAAGUCAGUGGUUAAAUCGUGAGGCUCAACCUCAUCACGCCAUUGAUACUGGAGGACUUGAUUGCGGUUGAGGUGGGCGGAAUUCGCCGUGUAGCGGUGAAAUGCAUAGAUAUGGCGAAGAACUCCGAUUGCGUAGGCAGCUGACCAAGCCGUAAAUGACGCUCAUGCACGAAAGUGCGGGGAUCGAACAGGAUUAGAUACCCUGGUA